rnacentral:rRNA from 1 species
GAUGAACGCUGGCGGCGUGCCUAAUACAUGCAAGUCGAGCGAACGGACGAGAAUCUUGCUUUUCUGAUGUUAGCGGCGGACGGGUGAGUAACACGUGGAUAACCUACCUAUAAGACUGGGAUAACUUCGGGAAACCGGAGCUAAUACCGGAUAAUAUUUUGAACCGCAUUGUUCAAAAGUGAAAUACGGUCUUGCUGUCACUUAUAGAUGGAUCCGCGCUGCAUUAGCUAGUUGGUAAGGUAACGGCUUACCAAGGCAACGAUGCAUAGCCGACCUGAGAGGGUGAUCGGCCACACUGGAACUGAGACACGGUCCAGACUCCUACGGGAGGCAGCAGUAGGGAAGCUUCCGCAAUGGGCGAAAGCCUGACGGAGCAACGCCGCGUGAGUGAUGAAGGUCUUCGGAUCGUAAAACUCUGUUAUUAGGGAAGAACAUAUGUGUAAGUAACUGUGCACAUCUUGACGGUACCUAAUCAGAAAGCCACGGCUAACUACGUG